UGGUUUUGCUGAUUAGCAUCGGUUCCUCUGCUCAGGAGUGUGUGGGAGUGAACAGAUGGGGCUUGUUACCAGUUCCUGCCGCAGCGGCGCUUUUUCAAGCUUCAGAUGUUUCAUGGCCAGAUGCGGUUUGCGUCAGGCAGAGGCAUUAAAAUGUCCAGCUGUCAUUCUGCUUCAGCAACUCGCUGACCGGAGAGGAUGAUCAAAACGACAGGAAUCUGGAGGGGCCACAUCAGACAAUGUCGCCGGCUGCAUCAUCUCAUCUCAGGUUGAACAGAGAAUGGACUGAUAAACUAGUCAGAGUUGAUUGGAGGAUGGGUGUAAUAAUCCUGAUAGAAAAUCUGCUGCAAAAGACUGAACA